rnacentral:rRNA from 1 species
GUUGAACGCUGGCGGCGGGCCUAAUACAUGCAAGUCGAGCGGACGAACGGGGCUUGUUCCUGGAUUCCGUGAGGGGCGGGUGAGUAAGGAAUAGGAAUAUGCCUGGUCGUGGGGGAUAACGUACGUACAGGGGAGCUAAUCUCGCAUAGGUCCUGAUAGAGAAAGGGAGGGAUCUACGGUCCAAGAGCGAUCUGCUGAGACUAGGUGGGAUUAGCUAGUUGGUAAGGUAAAGGCCUACCAAGGCGACGAUCCGUAACUGACCUGAGAGGAUGAUCAGUCACACUGGAACUGAGACACGGUCCAGACUCCUACGGGAGGCAGCAGUGGGGAAUAUUGGACAAUGGGCGAAAGCCUGACGCAGCCAUGCCGCGUGUGUGAAGAAGGUCUUCGGAUUGUAAAGCUCUUUAAGUAGGGAAGAACGGCAGUAAGUUUACCCAUGGCCGUCUUGACGGUACCAACAGAAAAAGCACCGGCUAACUUCGUG